AACAUAAUAUUCUUAUCGAGGUGGAUUUGAUUCUUAUUAUUGGCCGACUUUUGAUGAUUUUUUAAUCAUUCAAUUAAUUGAACAUUGAACCACAGAAUAUAUAUUUCAUAUAUUCUGUGAUUGAACUUUGAACAGAAAUACAGACUACAUUCACAUAGAUUAAAGCCUCGUUCACACGGCGACAGUUGCUUGACACUAGUGUCGCGUAUCAAACGAUUUUGAUAUACGGCACUAGGUGUCACGACACACAAUAUCCUUGUCAUACUCAUUAGUGUCACCGUGUGAACGAGACUAUACACAUUUUAGUAAAAAAUUGUCACGUGUAAGUGUAUUCUUUAUAGUAAAACAUCCGAAGUAUCGCAUUGGCACAUAACCUUAAUUUUUAUUUAUUUCAAAAAAAUGAAAAUAAAAGGAAAUGAUGGCAAAAAAUCUUCAAAUUAAAUGAUUACCCAAUUUCUAUUUGUUAUAGAAUCUGCGGUAAUCAUUUCACAAUUAGUGAUUGUAAACAGUGCUCAGUAAAUUAGUAAAUAUGGUCAGAGGCUGUCUUAAAAAAUAAUAUAAAAAAAUACUUGCCUGGGAUAGAGAAGUAAAAUAAAUUUUAGUGAUUUACGGCAACAUUCGUACUACUCUGAGCACGACUAGUAAAUCGCACAAUAAAUCAGAAAAGCCUUAGAUACUUAAUAAUAUCUAAUUCACACACUUAUAGCAUACGAUAGCUGUGUACUCAAGCUAUAUGACGCUUAUUAUUGCUGUGAAAUACUGAUUAUUUUGAGACCUUAAGAUGCGGUACUAACCACCCAAGACAUGAUCAGUUGGUUGGGCGUCGUUGCAUUUCUAUUUGGCAUAGAAACGGUAAUCAUUUUACAAUCAGUGAUUAUAAACAAGGCUCAGUAAAUUUAAAGCGACAUAAUAAAUCAUCAAAGAGAAAAUCAUAUUUCUCCAACAAUGAGUUUGAAGAAAAUUAACAGACAAAUAAUGCAUUUGGAGACGUUACAGUUGAUGAUUAUAUUACACUUGGAAAAGCCUUAAAAACUUAAUAGUGUCUAAUUCACACACAAACUAAAAGUAACAUACCAAGUUAGAACAAAAUUUCGCGCACACAGCUGAUAGCUGCAGCAGUGCAAAGGCCAAACUUCCCCCACCUUGCUGGACGCAAUGUUUCUCAAAGACGUUGACGAUCUUUGGCUAGGAUGGUGGGGAAAGUUUGGCCUUUGCAAUAUUGCAGCAGUCAAUUGUAUGCGCGAAAAGUGACCAUUCUCUUUUGGAACAGGGUAUAGAGUCUUUAAAUAUAUAAUAAAUAAUAUUAGGGUAAUAUAUUUUAGGGCAAGGGAUGCUGUAGCAUCCCAGCCAGUCCGUGCCUGACUUCAAUAGUUCUAAUAAUUCUAUAUUAGUUCAUAAUAUAAAUUUAAAAAUGCAUAAGUUCACGGUUACAAUGCAAUUCGGUGACUAUGUUUUGAUUACGUACUGGAUACAUUCUUAAAUCAACGUAAUUACACUUGAACCAGUAAUAACGACGGGUUUUGUCAUAUUCUAAAUAAACGCAAUCGUCGUCCGUCAA
rnacentral:lncRNA from 1 species